UAUCAUUAUUACUAGCAUAAAAGGUGGCCUC
rnacentral:piRNA from 2 species